AUGUCUCUCCCAGACUUCCGCCGUACUGCCUGUGUGGCAGGGCGUGGCCUGCCCUCCAAACAGGUGCCAUAUGGAGGUAGUGCCUUAAUUGGUGGGUGGGGAGAAAAGGUUUAUAUAAGGCACUGCCUCCAGCUGGCUUUAGUUGUUUUCCCCCUUCGACGGUACGGCGGGGUUGCGGCUUAUCUGGGCGGUUCGACCAACAGAAACUGUUUCACAGAGCGAGCAUGCUGUUUGGCAGCGCCAACAAGGUUGGUGCUUCCUCCCGCCAUCCUUCCACCUAGAACGCUUUGCCGUAAGGGCACGCGCGCUAGUUUGCACUGGGCAGUUGGCUGCCGGCUGGCGUCAGUGGGUCGCGUUGCCCCAGCGGGAACCCCUCACAGAGUGGUGGCGCCACCAAACACAGUCGGCACGGACUACCUUGCUUACUGGACCCACUGCUGCUUUGACUCGGUCCUUUGGUUCGGGAUUCUCUCUCGUUCUCUCUCUCUCUCUUUCUCGCUCGCUCCCCUUCGCUCAGAGAAACGGCGCUGAGACGUGGUGGUGCCGCCGAGGCGACCACAGGGCUUUUGCCUAAAUUUUAGACUCUUAACAGUGUGUAAAUUGUAUCAGUUUAUAUUUACUUUUUUUAGGUUUUGUUGCUUUUCGUUUCUUGGUUGACGUUGUGUUCUUUUAGACGACCUGGUCACCAUUUAUUUGCCUGUCUGUGUGUGUGUGCACGUGUGUGCUCGUCGCGUCUGAUUUUUUAUCAUUGUAAAUUUAAUUGUUCCUUUUCUUUGUGGACAGGUGCUGCGGGCCACGGCAGGGACCCAACCCCUGGUGGAGGGCGUUUUCAUCACCCUCCUCGUGUGUGGUUUUGCUUGCAGUAGCACAGGUGUUUUUAGUUUGUUUAUCUCCCCUAAUUGAGUUUAACCUGCUGGUGGGGCCCCAGCCCUGUCCACCCCUUUUGUUAAUUUAACUUUUGUAUAGCUGCGUCAUUUUUUUUGUUGAGUAUUGGAUUUAAUAAAAUUGUAGUGCAUAACCCUCAAUCCUGUCUCGGCCUCUGGAAUAGAACCUUAUCUGCGUGUGCCUGUUCUCCGGUUAAUUCCUGGGGUGAAAUUCCCUAGGUGGCGUUGUCGUCAACCGAUACACCUCCCACCCCGCCACACCUGGAAGGUCAGGAUUUCCUUCCAUGGCUUCUUUCACUAAUUGUGGAAGUCCUAAAAUUAUUGCCUGACGGAACAAAGUGGUGUGUAGAUUAUCUGAGCCAGGAUGGCACCCUGUGGCACACAUCCAUUCCUCUUUACACCUCAUAAGGAAUCCAUGUGCCAACUCACUUUCCUCCCACUUAAAUCUUAAGUUCUGCAUUGCUCCUGGAGAUAUUGGAAAUAUCUGUCUCAUAGCUUCACCAACCCUGUUUGCACAAGGUCCAAAACGUGCAGCAUUAGGUCUGUCUUUAAUGCCUGCUGCUACUUCAACUUUAUCCAAAUCCCAGAGAGAUACUUGUCUCCCUAAAAUUCCUCUAAAGUCUCCUAUCGCCAGCUGCAUGUUCUGUGUUCAGCUAAAAAGGCUGGACAUCCACUUGCCGCCUCCCUCUGCGGUUGGGGGCAUCUUGUCAACUAAACAAUUGAUAUAUGUAAUAGCAAACGGAAAAUAUACUGU
ensembl:lncRNA